rnacentral:rRNA from 1 species
AACGAACGCUGGCGGCAUGCCUAACACAUGCAAGUCGAACGAGACCUUCGGGUCUAGUGGCGCACGGGUGCGUAACGCGUGGGAACCUGCCUUUAGGUUCGGGAUAACUCUCCGAAAGGGGUGCUAAUACCGAAUAAUGUCUUCGGACCAAAGAUUUAUCGCCUUUAGAUGGGCCCGCGUAGGAUUAGCUAGUUGGUGGGGUAAAGGCCUACCAAGGCGACGAUCCUUAGCUGGUCUGAGAGGAUGAUCAGCCACACUGGGACUGAGACACGGCCCAGACUCCUACGGGAGGCAGCAGUGGGGAAUAUUGGACAAUGGGCGAAAGCCUGAUCCAGCAAUGCCGCGUGAGUGAUGAAGGCCUUAGGGUUGUAAAGCUCUUUUACCAGGGAUGAUAAUGACAGUACCUGGAGAAUAAGCUCCGGCUAACUCCGUGC